rnacentral:lncRNA from 1 species
UUCUGUAUGCAUGUUUCCUUGAUGCUUUAAGGGGUUUUUGGGGAGUUGUUUAUGAGUUGUUUCGGGUGUGUUUGGCACCUCACUAGAGUCCACCUGUGUAGGAUCGGACCCGAGGAACCGAGGUGUUUAGCAGUGUCAGCCGUUUCAGAGUCGGCCCAGAGCUAGUCAGAGGUGAGUGGAACUAAACCUAAUGCUUUAAAUUAAGAAAUUAAAUGUUUUUAGAGCAUGAUCCAUGCAUCAUGAAAUGCCAUGAUAUGUAUU